AUAUACUUCUCUGUAAGAGUCAAAAUCUGCUUCUCACUGUGGCGAAAGCCAGACCACGGGUAGCCCUACAUGGAAGUUGUACAGCCAGCAGAGAGCACAGGAGCAGAGUUAUGGCAAGAGGCACAUCACCGGGUCUCUGAUGAGAUCAGCCAUGGAUACUGUGGAGUGAGAAGGAAGUCCCUUAUCACAGCACACAUGGAUUGAGAGUGCACAUAACCAUUGGUUUUGGAAUAAACCUUUGGAGACUGCAGCAUUUCUUGCACUACACAAAGUAGAAGAAUCAUAGAAUCAUAGAAUGGCUUGGCUUGGAAGGGACCUCAAGGAUCAUCAAGUUCCAGCCUCCCCACCACAGGUAGGGUUGCCAGCUGCUAGAUCAAGUACUAGAUCAGAUUGCCCAGGGCCCCAUCCAACCUGGCCUUAAACACCUCGAGGGACAGGGCAUCCACAACCUCUCUGGGCCUAUACUAAAGAGAGAUACUGCUCUCCAGUCCUACCGUGGAUUGUUCUACUGUAAAGAAACUUGGCUUUGUGUCUGGCAGUCACUCAUGGAAACAAGUCGACAGACACACAGGAAAGAGCUGUGUGCUUCCCCAUCGAUACGCCAUAGAACUGAAAUCAGAAGCCAUGGGGUGAUUAAGUGAUUUGGUCCUUCUUAGGUUUUUCUUUUUUGAACAAUGUGCAAGUUCUUACUCUUGUAUUGCAGGUUCUUACUCAGUGGGAAGUAGAUGGUGUUACUUAUUUUGUUUGGUCCUCAGAUAGAUUACUAUUAUUAGACAGACAUAGAAUACAUUUUAAUAUUUUUUUUAUAUUCUAAACUGAGUUGUUCGCUGCCUUGGAAAACGCACUUACUGAAAAACAAUAGUGACAGAACAUUUCUACUUUGUCAAGCAAUAUUUUAAUAAUUUAAUUGUUUGGUCCCACAUCUCAGCAAAGCCUGUGGUAAGUAAUGCAAGUUUGCAAACUGGAAAUGAACUUUAUUUUUUCAUUUAAAUGACUGACACAGAUUGUCCAGUCCUUCAGCCUCAAUUUUUUGUUCCUGUUUUCUUGGUAUUGGUACACGUGGGACAAAGAAAAUGAUGUGGCAGCCAGGUGAGCAGUUGCAUCUUUUCCUUCUUUGCUUCCUUAGAUAUACUUCCUUGCCACAGUUUUUCCUUUUUUUUUUGACUGAUUGGCCUCUGCCAGGUUCUUCCUCGUGCAACGUUCUUCCUCUUGCCCUGUCCUCUUUCCGCACCUUCAUCUCUGCCUCUCUGAAACGGUUCAUACGAUGAAGAGUCUGAAUCUCCACGAGGAGAUUAUAUCCUUUCUGCCACCAGCUAAGUGGAGCCAAGGAGAAAAAAAACUCUUCCGUUUCUAACUGAAAUGCCUUUUAAUUAUCUAAACCAAAUGGGAUGUACACUUAUCAAAACUUUCCCCUUUGUUUCAUUUCUAGGGUGAUGUUCAGUGCAUGUUGAAGGUUUCCAGCAACUGAUUAAUUACCCCAUCAUACCAGAGUAGCAUUCAGCAUUGCUGUGUCAGUCCAGGGAGCCUUGUUGUAAAAUUUAGGUCUUACCAAUUCCUGCAAAGCACCAGAAGCCACAGAUAUCUGUCUUCCACUGGUGACGUAAAGACACAUAAUCAUGGUUAGAAAAUAUUUCAAGGAUGCAUUAGUGUUUCACUAACGUAAAUGUGAUAUUUACGUAUAGGUAAUAUUCUAAGUGGCAUCUUCGUGGUUCCCCUACAAUUAAAAUAAUCAGUGGAAAGAUGCCUUCUCUUUUUUUUUUUCAGCAGUACAUUUGAUAUCUCAGCCAUUUAACACAGCAUUGAAAACAUUUUCUUUCGUGCUUUAAACCUAGAUUUGAAUAUAUCUAUUUUCUAUGAACCGAGUUCAGUACAAACAUGAUAAAAUUCUCACUAAAGGAAAGAAGCACCUGGUGUAUACUGAACUUGCUUAGGAGAUGGAUGGGAGGCACUGCAAAAAGUUGACUCAGCAAGAAAUCUUUCUGCAGAUUUUCAAGGAAAGGCUUUUUGCUCUUGCAUCUUUACAAACAUCUCUGGAUAUACUACAACAGCCCUAUAUGUAGACACACUUAUCCUGGAAUUGGCUGCUUUUCUAUUCACUGAGGCAGGAAAAAAAAGAUAUUUUUCCCCCAGAACACAGGAAUGACAUGAACAGCAAUACCUGCUGAAAUUCAUGCAUACCCUAGUGCUGUAUACUGUAUGCAUACUGUCACAUUUUUUUCAAAUGGAGAAAUACUAAAUUUAUUUCCACGUGUGGCCCUCUUGUAUCACUUAGCAUUGAUGUAUUAUUAAGGAAAGCCACGACUACCUAUGACUGCGUUGCACAUUCUGCAGGAACACACCUACUAGCCCUGAUAACAUGGCCAUGUGAUUUGCAUAAUAACUUUCUGUCUAUCUAAAUUCACGUUUCUAUUACAACUGUGCAUGCGAUUCCUAGUGUUUUUCUCUGCUGUUAAACAGAUGCUGCAUUUCAGACUUGGUGAAAUAGUUCUCUCUCUCUAUUUUUUUUUCCCUUCACAGAACUGCUUUGGGAUCUCUUUAGCUGAAAGAUAGCAUAUAAAUGCAAAUCACCCUUGGCCACAUAGCCCAGAAUUACUUUUGCAUUUUAUUCUUGAUCUGCUUCUGUAUAUAGAGCAUUCCUGAAAGACAGUGAAAUUAGAUUUACUCAUAUGGCUGACCUGCUUUGAGGAAAACAAACACAUGAUAGCCUUGUGCUACAUGAAUGUCAUGAUCUAAUGAAUGAUCCUGCUGAAAAGUAUCUCCUUUAAUUAAUUACUGACAAGACAAUUUCAUUUCAUUUAUAGCUUUAGAAAACAAACAAAGCAAAAAAUCCCAAAGCCUACAUAUAUGUAUGUCACACCUUCUCAAGUUUCUUUUUUCCCUAGUGUUAUUAACACAGAUAUAUACAUUUGCACCAAUAAUUGCUCUUUGUUUGAAUCCUUUUAAGCAAGUCUCCUUUAGUAAUGACUAUCACAAAACAUAUUCUGGCAGAAUAUGCAAAUUCUGCAAAAGAUAAGUCUGUUUAUGUUACUCAGUAAAGACAUAACGUUUACUCAAGAACAGAAACUCUACCUGCAUGCAAAUUAAAUUUAGAGCACUCCUUUGCAGAUAGUUAAAGUCUGUCAGGCCAGGGGCAAUCCAUGAAUGUGACUGCAGUGAUGGAAGGUAAAGUGAGUAAGAAGUCUGAUCUGCAGACAGUGCACAUGUACCCGAUGCAGGAAAAUUCCCUCCAUGGGAUUGUCAAUGGUUUGUUCACCAUCCACAAGAAUUGGCUUCCUGUGUUAUGAAACUUUGGAAAAGCAGACAGAAAAGAAAUACGAAUAAAAACGAAACUCCAAUUAAAAGAGCUAGAGCCAAGUGCUUACUGCAUCACGUCUUUCAUUUGCUUUCAUUGAGUCAUGGCUAGCAGGUGUCACCUAUGGUUUCAGAUCCCGCAUAUUCCUGGCACUGCCCACGUGCCAGCAAGGGGUUUAGGUGAAUACUCUCCCAGUUGUAGGCUGAUAGGCAUAGUGGCAAAGCAUGGAUAGUGCUGGUGUGACUUCCAUGGGAGACCGAAGUACUCACUGGGAAGCAGAUGUUGCAGUGAAGAUGUAAAAGCAGCACAUGUAACUAUGGCAUAGCCAAGGACCACAGAAGGAACGGGAGUUUCUUCAUGUGCCUCUGAUGGGGAAGAAAGCAAGCAGCAGUUGUGCUGAGGAAGCAGCUCAGGACAGAUUUACCAGCAAACCAGAUCACUUCAGGGCUUGCCCAGCUGAAAAUGAAGAGAUAAUGUAGAGAGGCAGAGUGCAAACCAGCAUGUAAAUAUUCAUUUUAUCACCUCUCAUCUUGUGAGAAAUGUGUCGUGGCUUCCUCCAUACCUACAGUUGCUCAGGGCUCUUGUUUCAUAGCUAAAGAUAAUUCUCCUGGUAGCAUGAUACAAAACAGUGGUGGAUUGUUUGACUCCAGAAGCUGGCUACCAACGAACCAGCUUUAUUUCCUCCCUACAACUCUCCACGCAUUCCAGGACUGGACCUCAUGCAUUGCAGGAGCACAGGGAGGGAUGCAGGAGCAGCAGGCAAUUUGUUGGCACCAUUUGGCCUUGACACAAAGAGAUGAGCUGAGGAAUUUUGGAAGGCCUUACGGACAGCCAACAGAAGGAUGCUUGUGACAGCCAGGCUGGGAGCAAGGCAAAGGGGAACAAACCCAGAGCAGGACUCUUUAGUAGGGUCUGUUGUGACAAGACAAGGGUAAAUGGUUUCAAACUAAAAGAGGGGAGAUUUAGAGUGGACAUAAGGAAGCAGUUAUUUACAAUAAGGGCAGUGAAGCACUAGAACAGGUUGCCCAGAGAGGUGGUGGGUGCCCAUCGACACAGACAUGCAAGGUCAGGCUGCAGGGGGCUCUGAGCACCCUGAUCUGCUGUAGGUGUCCCUGUUCAUUGCAGGGCAUUUGCACUAGGUGGCCUUUGGGGAGCCCUUCCAGAUCAAAUGAUUUCAUGAUUCUGUAAAAAAAGAUCUCCAGAACUUCAGAAGCAGCAAAUAUCCUCUGUGCACACUCCCUAGGUCGUGUAGCUGGCCAUGGGUGACACUGAUCGCUCCAGCAGACACGACGUGCUGCCACUGUGUCAUGCAUGGCGCCUCGGCAGAUGCGCUCCUCCCAGAGCCAAUGUAUGUAAGUACUGAUCUUAUUGACUCUGAUACCAAUGGACGCGAUGUGACGCUGGAAUAAAGCCACAGCUGUGCCUCGCAGAAACCAGGGGGAACAAAACACCGGCAAGCUCUGGAGGCAACGCUUUCUCCGCGGGACCUCGUCCUGCUGGUUGUCUCCUUAACAACGCCGAUCUCAGAGGGAACGCGGGGGCCUCUCUCCGCCCCACCUGAGGAUGUCUGCACACAAACCCCG
ensembl:lncRNA